UACGUAGGUGGCAAGCGUUGUUCGGAAUUAUUGGACGUAAAGAGCGUGUAGGCGGCCAGGUAGGUCUGCUGUGAAAACUCGAGGCUCAACCUCGAGACGUCGGCGGAAACCAUCCGGCUAGAGUCCGGAAGAGGAGAGUGGAAUUCCUGGUGUAGCGGUGAAAUGCGCAGAUAUCAGGAGGAAUACCGAUGGCGAAGGCAGGUCUCUGGGCUGACACUGACGCUCAUGCACGAAAGCGUGGGGAGCAAACAGG
rnacentral:rRNA from 1 species